rnacentral:rRNA from 1 species
UCCGGUGGCAAUAGCGGAGGUUAAAAACCCGUUCCCAUACCGAACACGGAAGUGAAGCCCUCCAGCGCCGAUGGUACUGAUAACUCGGGAGAGUAGGUCGCUGCCGGUA